UUCACUCAGGAAUGUAUUAACCUUAGCCUCUUUUUUUGGGGGAAUAAUCCAUAUUCCGAAUAGGGGGUAAUUUUCAGAACUAAACACCGCAACUAUUAAACAAGACAACGUUCUGCAGGUAAACAUUAUAACUGAUAUAAAUAAUACCACUUCCUGUUCACUGUGGUAGUUUCACGAGGUUGUGAGUGUCCGAGGUCUCUGUAAACGGACGUCGUGAUUUUUCUGGACACCCCUCUAGGAGUUUGUGGUUCAACCUGCGGAAUUUAAAGGCAAAAUGGCGACAGGGUGAUGGAUGGCAGCCGAAUAUCCAGCACUUAACCGAGUGUCAUGGCGAUCUUGUCGUUGCCUACAAAUUUCCAGCGUCGGAAAGGCUGGCGAUCACAUGUCUGGAUGGUGCCACUGUUUUGGAAACUAUUGGUAAGACCUGUUGCCAACACAUUCAUGUAAUACAUAUGUUAUAUAUGUGGUAUUAUUUCUUAAGAUUAUGGUUUUAGGUUCAUAAUAUCUUAUAAAGUGAAACUCACAAUUUAAUAUAGUAUUAUAUUUAAACCGAUGGUUGAUGGAUAUUGUAUUGCUGUCUCUUGGACAUUGUUGCAUACAUCAUAUAUGUAAUUGCAUUUAAUAUUAUUAUAUUACCUAAUAACCUAUAUAAUUAAUUGCAUACAAUAUAAUAUAUUGCAUAUAAAAAAUAGAUGGCAAUGCAGGAUCUAUUGUAACUUUCAGCAAAGCUCACUCUAGGUGUACACAGUGUCGUGUUUGUGUAUGUGAUGUUGCAGACGUUCGGCGACACUUUGAGUCGAGCUGGGAUGUGUGAACUGCUGUGAUACUAUAACUGGGUGUGAUCAGCAGUCAAAUGAAAUAAGAGCUGUCAGUCACACUUGCCUGGCAACCUCGUCAUGGCAACAUUCGUCUUCUCUUUUGGCACACCCCACAAAAGUCAAAAAGAAAUCCAAUUCCUGGUAUCGUUUGCAUGUGCAAACCUGACAAAAUGACUUUGCGUAAUUGGACAGUGAUCUGUGACCUGCUUCGUGUUGCGAACAGAUCGAGUAGCUAUCAAGAACUGUGUUUUACAGUUGCUUGUGGUACCAAAGAGCUGUUUCUUUAAAGCUUGUACUCACAUAUAUGCUGUGACUACUUGACUGAAAUGGGACCGUGCUUUGCGUGUCUCUAAAUCAGCAGCUCUUAUUCUCAUCCUGCACCUGUCAGACUCCUUAUGUUACCGUAACUUCCUCGAGCCCUAUCACGUUAACGGUUAAUGGGGUAACGAGUUUCCUCACCUGAGGUUGCAGGCGUGAAUAAGGUUCACUGAGAUGUCCCUGUAGCAAUCGCUUAUCCACACCUGAACAGGCAAACGAGAGGCUUUCCUGAAUUAACUACUUCAUUAAGGGAAUUACAUGAAACGCAAAACUUCACACCUCCUCUCAAAAGCUGUACAUGGACGGAAUCAGCACAACUUGCAUCAGAUAUCUCCACCAUAGCAAUGUCCCUGUUAGAUUUAUCACUAGGGGGCAGAAUUGGAUCACUGAUUUUUAUUUAACUCGCAUAAACAUUAACAAUAAUAAUCAGCUGGGUUGGAGGAUAGUCUUUGAAAACACAGGGGAUAACAUUCUGAAUUUACCUUGUGAGUAUUCUGUAGCAUAUUUCAUUACAGUAAAUAAAUGUUUAGAAUUGUCAAAUAAAAUAGAUUGGAUAUCCAGCAAAAGACCUACUCAUAGACAUAAGUGAACAUUGGGAAAUACUAUAAAUAACAGCGUCUUAGUAGUUGCUCUACACAGUUUUACUGAAAGUUCUUUCUGAGUAAAAUAAUGGCAGCCUACAUUAAAACCCACACCACGCUAUAUCAUUCCAUGUACCUAUAUAACUUCAUAACAGAAAUAUAACUAUAGCUUGAUUUUAUUUUUUAUUAAUCAUAUUUAACAAGCUGAAGAAAAACACAAAUCGCCAAGCACAGCCCUGUUAGUGUUUUCUCAGUAAAAUCUAUAGUAAAUAGCAGAUGUCUCAUAGGGAUUGCAGGAUUAAUAGUACCAAACAUUUCAGCUUCAUUCAUUUUCUGGUAUUGAGCAAAUUAAACCCACACGGUCUGUCCUAUGAAAGGUGCAACAGUUUGAAAAGGGGAAAAGCCAAGGGCUCUUUGUGGUAUCCAAACAUUUGAUUAACUUUGGAUCAGCCAGAGAGAAUGGAUUGAAGUCGUGUGGUGAUGAUUAUAUAUCGGUGUAUAAAAUUAGCAGUAUUAGGAGAAUGACGGUAGUCUGAUACUAGCUGUGCUGUGUGCAAUGUUAUUUCUGUUUACUAUCACCUAAUAACUAUGGGAACUAAUUCACUAAAUCUUCAAACAGGACGUAGUUUGGAAUUGUAAUGAUACUCCAUUGUCCUUGAUCAUCUCUUUGAGAUGUAUAAAAUACACGAAGACAAUGUGGUUUUCAAAAGAAAUGGCACAUAUUCUUAUUAAACAUUGUCAAAGUCAUGAAUUUUGUUAGUCUGCACAUUCAUUUGGUACUUAUGUCUUCUAGGUGCCGUGACUUGUGCUGUAAUUGUGAGGCCACCUGUUGGUCAAGAGUGAAAAGUAAAUGGAAAGCAAAUGUCAUGGGCACGUUUUAGACGAAUCAGAAUGGAGAUAAAGUACUGAAAGUAUAUACAUUUAUUAAUUGCAUUCAGAGCAAUAAGCAUUUGAGGAAGACUUGAACUGAACAGUAGAGCUGAAUGAUUCGAGGUUAAGAGUCUUGCUAAAGAGCCCAACAGCUCACAGGCAAUCGCAACCUUUCCUUGCCAGAGAAACGAACCUGUCAGGCUACCAUUAAAUGGCUACCAUUAAGCAUUGUACUGAAAUUCAACUUGAUGUAGCUCUCAUUUAUUAAAAAAAAAAAAAAAAAGUUUUCAAUCCAGCAUGUCACAUCUACAGUACAUUAAUCUGACAGAAAUGAAAAUGACAAUAUAAACUACAAUAAUGUGUUUGUGUAUACAGGAGGCAUCAAAUAGGCAGGAGGAUUUAAAGCCUUGCUUUCUGAAUUUAUUUUCCAAGUACUGAAAAUGAGUGCUAGUUUUCUUAACUUUUUCUUUUGAUAAAUUUUUCAUCAACUUCUUAACCUCAUUAGAUUGUACCUAUUGAAGCGAUAUCAUUACAUAUGCUAUCCCUCGUACAGAAGAACACACCGAUAAACCUCCACACACACACACACACACGCAUGCACACACAUCACAUUACUUUGUCUAUCAUAUGUCAAAGGAGACAUUUUGAUCUUUUUUUUUGAUUCGGUCAGUCACAUUUUGAUCUUGGCUCUGAUGCAUCAUUAACAUUUGAACAUUUCCCCUUAUUCCCUUGCAGGAUUAAUGACCUCGCCACACCAUCCCCACGCCCCCUGCUGCUAAACCUUGUAUUAAUUGGGACGUCAAAAGCCACUUCUCCCACUCUUUAUUGUAUACGUUUACCAUUAGACUCAUUAGCUUCCUGUCGCUUCCCGUCCAGCCUCUCCUUCCCAGCCAGGCGUGACUCUCCUGGGAGAACAUUUCCAUCUUUCCACUAGGCCUGUCUCAACAUUAUCCCUGCUGUAAACGCCUCUCCUCUGAUGGCCCUCUUUUGAUAUUUCUUUUUUUUUAUUUUAUUUUUUUCUUAAGGUCGCUCUGAUCAAGGGCUGCUUGGGUGUUAAUUGGUGGCUUGUGUGCGGCUCCGCCUCUUCAUUCAGCUUUAAUGGUCACCAUUGACAAACAGCAGCCAAAUAACAAUAGAGUGACUUUUUUAUUUUUAAAUACCCUCAGGGAAAUGUUUGAAUGAGGUGAGGUGAUCAGGAGGCCCUGUGUGUGUGUGUGUGUGUGUGUGUGUGUGUGUGUGGUUGUAUGUGUGUGUCGGGGGCGGGGGGGUUAUUUAUUCAUUCAUUCAUUUAAAAAAAAAAAUUUUUUACUUUUUAAAAGGACUGUGCAUUAUGGGAAAGCCCCUAUUUGUCAGGAUUGUUUACAUGUUGACAGACUACAUAAUGUAAUUGUUUUGCAUGUAAUGUCUGGUCUAUCAGCACAGCUGAAAUCGUUCUAGUUCUUUACUGAUCCUCUCUACUUUAAAUUAACUUCCCUUCUGCUGCCUUAUGUUGUUCGCGUCUCACUCAGCACUUCGCGCUACAUUUUAAUGAAAGCUAAUAAGAGCGGCCUCGUCCCAAUACCUCCGGCUCUUGACGUUUCUCUAAAUGUAAGUGUGCUGGUGGCUGCUUGCCAGACCCGAUCCUGUUUUUGGAGCCGAGCUUCGACACCGACAUGGGAUCGUUUUCAUCUGAUCAGUCACUUGUCUAGGCGAAGUGAUGGUGACAAAGUUAGGGCAGCCCCCCCCAUAGGAGUCAAGCAGAGACAGAUGGUUGAGCGUGUGUCCUCAAUCACGCACACAUCUGUGCAUUUUUCAGAGUUUUAAAAGCAACAUAAAAGGAAAAUUGAGUACAUGAGAAAUUGAUUGUGAGCUUCAUAUUUUGAGACCUACAGUAAACCGGGACAAUGUGCUAACGAUCAGUGUCAAUUUCUACAGAUUUAAAGCAAUAUUUCAGGCCAACCAGGGGGGAAGCAUACGAUUUCUCCCUUUAGUCCAAAUGAUGUUAUUUAAACUGUCAGGUUUUUCAAUAUCUCAAACACAGUUGUUUAUGUUGUUUCUGACACUGUUAUCCAUAAAAAAUGGACAAAUCACAUCACAUGGCCAAAAACACAGUAGCAGCAGCAUCUAUCUUGAAGCCAGAAUCAGUUUCUUCUACAGUUUGGUGUUGCUUCGCACAAACAUCAGAUUUAAAUGCAGUUCUUGCAUAAAAAAAAAAAACCUGAACCAUGACCCAACGUCACCUGUUUGUAGUUAUGUGAGCUGUAUUUAUAGUUUUCAUAAAAUUUUUUUCUUAGGUUUACAUUUCUUUUUAAAACUGGAAAUAGUUCAGUUUUAACUGGAGUCUGAUUUAAUGAAAACUUAUUUAUAAAUGUACGUGAGCCAGGUUUCCAUCCUGAACAAAUAAACAAAUGCUUCAUUCAAAAGGUCUGUUAAAACACUGAAAGAAAUUAAUCAGCCACCGAAAAUAUGACUACCAAGAAGAAUAAAUUUGCAUUAGAUGCAAUACCAUUUUUAAUUUUGAUAUGGAAGUGUUUUACGCUCAAAAGAUGUGUUUUGAUAUCCAAAUUACUUUUUGAAUUGCCUGAGCUGUGGUUCGUCUGCACAAGACUCUGCACCCAGGUCAAUAUAAC
ensembl:lncRNA